rnacentral:lncRNA from 1 species
CUGUUGGAAAACCAUCUUCUUAGACUUUUAUCUGCCAUCCCAAGGAAUUUGUAGCUAUAAAUUUCCUCUGAACACUUCUUUUGCUGCAUCCCAUAAGUUUUGGAGAUCAAAAUGUUUCUACCUCUGAAGAUUAGAACUAUAAGGACCUUUUCCCCCCACUUCACCUCAGGAAGCUCUCUUUGUCCUUACUGAAGGUGACGUGGAGUGAAUCAGCUCUUCUUUCAUCUUGGAAGUAAUAUCUUGACAUGCUGCAAACCAAUGAACCAUCAGAAACUUCACCGAGGUUUCAAACACUUGUACUAUGUGCACUACAACUAUGGACAGAGUGACUACUGGCAGAAAUGAACCCAUGUGAGAAUUCUGGGAUCGAAGAGAACAAGGAGCUAAAGGAAGUCAGUUGGAUGAUGUAGGAGGGAGGCUCCUGUUUUUCUGACAUCACUGCCAGAUGAAGCACCAAAUAAUUAGAAAGCUUUCACUCCAUUUGCCUUGGAUAGAUUUAAAGGCUAGGCACAGUCAUUUGUGUUAGUUAAAAUCUCUGAAACCUUAAAAAUAAAUAAAUAAAUAAAUAAAAUCA